GUGGCCGAAUGGUUUGAGCGUCCGCCUCGAAUGUGGAAGGUGGUGGGUUCAAACCCCCACCAAGUCA